CAGAGUUGCAAGACUCCCUAAACCAUUGUGAACCUACCUUCUAUCGUUGCUUCGGCGGGCGGGCCCAGCGCCCCCCCGGCCCCCCGCGGGCGCCCGCCGGAGGAUACCCAAACUCUUGACAUUAGUGGCCUCUCUGAGUAUUCUUUACUGAAUAAGUCA
rnacentral:misc_RNA from 1 species